rnacentral:sRNA from 1 species
CUGUUCGGUCCACACUCGGCUAAAUGGAGCAUGACAAAACAGAAAACACACAAACAGGCACAUAGAUGAGGACGACGACUGGCGACACUCGUGGGUUGACUGCGAAAGGAAAAGGGAUAAAAGUAACUGCCACGGCGAAGGCAACGGCCGAUGAAGAGGAGGGGGUUGUGGCAAAAAGGGGCGGAUUUUGAUGAUGCUGCUUUGAUUCUUGCAGCCAGUGAGGCGGCAAACGCAAAGCCAAAUAAAUAUAAACACAAAACCCACGCGAACACCGACUGAAAUGCGCGCAUUUAAGCUGCAAAACACUCCCAACUAGAGGCUCUCGAAACAAAACAGAAGCAGACGGCAGAGUGAAUAAUACUAAUACUUGUCAGAUCAUAGCAAAAAAUUUCAAAAGAUACGCCAGGUCAAGGCUCUAAACGGUGUAAGACCCUUGAAGUAAGAGUAUCAGUCGAAUUGAAACGAUUUUUGCUAAAG